rnacentral:misc_RNA from 1 species
GAAAUCUUAUGUCUCAGAAGUUCUUGUAGUUUUUACUGGUAUUUUGUAUUUUGUGGCAUAAGUUAAUAGGUCGUUACAAGGUGACAGUCCGCUAGUUUUUAUUGUGGAUUGCAAAAUCUAGGGAGUUUUGAAUUGCUAAAUCUGUAAAAGCUAUAAUUUUUUUGGUUAGUUCUUAAGAAUGACAUUACCAAAUGUAAUCUAACACGAGUUAUUCUUUUUUUUUUUUUU